AGUCCCACCUCUCGUACGACCCACUCGAUUUUCUUUCCCCCGUCCCGGUUAUCUCCCUCAUGGUUUUCUCCCCCUGGCCUGCUCCUCACGCCGGUGUCCCGCGCCACCCCUGCCGACCUCCGGCCGUCGUCCAGUAACCUCUCCCGUGUGCCCUAUCUCUCUUCUUCUCCCUUCUCCCUUCCUUUUCUCUCCCUCAACAAAUCUUGUCUUUCUCUGUUUCAGAAAUAACAGCACCAUGGAUCCCGAUGUGGAGCUCCAUUGCGGCCCGAUCUGACCUGGGAGCGACCAGAUCCGUGCGUCUCCGCCUUGCUCCGCGCGCCUCCAUGGUCCGUCGUCUUCCCGAGCGUCGGCGCCGCGCCCAGCCGCCGCCGUCCCAUGCCAUGGUCGCCUCCCUCCAGAACUACGUGCCAUGGCCUCCUCCCUGCCUCUCCCGCAAAUUAACUCCCAGCAACCGUACAUGAGCCCCAAGGCACCACGUGAUUCUGAUGAUACACCAACACUGGGUCGGUCCUACAUUGUUGACCUGCUCCAUUCUAUCCGGCAGCUCCAUUGGGAAAGCACCAACGUAAAAAACCACCGCAGGACAAAUUCGCUUCAAUUUUGUUGUUAGUGACAGAUGGCCGCACCGCUCCCACCGCGGCGGCGGCAACGGCAAUCUUCCCCUCAAUGGUCGUGUCGUACCGCUCCAACGCCAUCCGAGACAACCAUCGCGUGGUGGAGGAGGGCCACCUCGAGUACAUCGGGGAAGCGGUGAGCGCGGUCGCUGACACAUGUUCUGUUGAGUCCUCCAUUUCAGUUUCCAGACCUUGUGGCCGAUGAGGCGUACCUGCGUGUUUCUUUGAUGGUCGACAACGAGAUCCAAACUCCAAGUAUUCGUGGAUAUAGGGAACAGUUAUGGUACAAAUAGACUUGAUUGUACUGAUAAUUUUCAGCUUGCACAUGGAUCCCUUAUAGUAUGCAAUUAAGCUUGAUGACAAAUUCUUGGAGAGACACUAGGUGCCAGGUUGGAGAUUUGGGAUCGGAUGCGCCAAUAACAAGGGACCAAGGUGCUGAACUAACGGCACGGGCAGAAUGAUUCUUCAUGUACCAACAUAGUCGCCGACUAGAGAAUUAAGUUAACUGUUUGAUUUACUUGAAGCUCCAUAUUGUAGUUAUUUUAUUCAUUCACUAAUUUGGUAUAAUCCUACUCUAGGAGGAUUAUCACUGUAUGAUAUGAGAUCAUGACGUUUAGCAAUGAUAAAACUCUGACAUUGGAUGGUUCUUUUCUGAAGUACAGUUGAUGAAUCAGAAACUAAAGAUGAUGAUACGAUGGAUACAGAAGAAGCUUCCUUUGUCCUCAUCGCUGCACUGUAGUCUUUCAGCCAAGCUCUGGUGAAUGAUGAUGGAGAAAAAGAUAUCGUGACAGAGGUUGAUGUCUUCUUGCGUCCAACCCUAGAUCACAGGGGCUCUCUUAUCAGCAAAAUAGCUACUCUAGAUGCGCAGAUGACGAUCGCAAGAGAUCAUAUCUUGAGGAUAAGUGAAUAACUUUGAGGUCUACAUGUCAAGUAUAGAAAGAGAAACCUGAUGACGACAAGUGUGUCGUCGAUAUCUUUGCUGCCACUUCUUUGCCAGCCAGAGUGGCUUGUUUUUAGUGACGAUCAUGGUGUACAUGUGUGUAUAUGUUGUGUUCUGAUAUACUGUACUACAAGAUUUUCUUGGAAUGGUUUGGUACUUCCGGGAUUUAGACUAUGAAGAGCGUAUGUGUAUGCUGGUUCCAUAUACUCUGUACGUCUGGUUAGCAGGAGAUUAAGCAAUGGGCGAGGUUUUGUAUC